CGUGCACUAGGUUUGCCUUUUUUUCUGGAUACGAUUACUUAUUACUUACUAAAUAAGAGUAAUAUCAUUGGAAAAAUCUGAUUUAUUUAUUUAUUAUUUUUAUUAUUUUUGCAGCUAAUUUUAAUGAAGAGAGGAGGACAAAUAAUAUAUUCCGGAGAGUUGGGGCAGCAUUCAAGUGAACUUAUAAAAUAUUUUCAGGUAAGCAACAAUGACGUGCACCUCUUCCCUCAUUCUAACUUUAUGUUUUCCUUCUCCAUAUUAAUUAAAGCAGCCAAUGUGCAAAUUACACUAACACUAGACAAUGGCCUUCUUUGUUCCAAAUAAUUCUAUAGUUGCAACCAGGUUGAUUCUUCCCUUUAAUAAAGAACAAAGGUGGUAUUGCAAUAACGAAAAUAUACUACUUAUACCAAACUACUCCAUAACUAGCAUUUAAUCAUAACCCAGAGAAAUGAAAACCAUAAUCACUAAAGAACUAGAGUGUUUUAUGGCAGAGCAUUGAUGAAAUGCCAAAAAUCCACGAAAAUUACAUCCCUGCGUGGAUGUUAGAGGUUACAAGUACAUCUUCAGAAGCACAACAUGGUUUAGACUUUGCCCAACUCUACAAAGAGUCUCAUCUAUGUCGGGAAACCAAAGCACUGGUUAAUGAACUGAACUGCCCAGCACAAGGUUCAAAUGCUUUACAUUUCUCUACUCGCUUUUCGCAAAAUGGAUGGAAAAAAUUCAAAGCAUGUCUCUGGAAACAUCACCUCACCUAUUGGAGGAGUCCCAAAUAUAACUUGGCGCGAUUACCAUUUAUGACCAUGGCUUCUUUGGUAUUUGGAGCACUUCUUUGGCAAAAAGGAAAGCAAAUAAAUGGAGAACAGGAUUUGUUCAAUAUCCUAGGAGCAAUGUUCAUAUUAGUACAAUUCCUGGGAAUAGGCAACUGUUCAUCAGUUCUACCAUUUAUAGCUACUGAGCGCAUCAUUGUAUACAGAGAGAGGUUCACUGGAAUGUACUCCUCAUGGGCCUACUCAUUUGCACAGGUGACUAUUGAAAUUCCAUAUAUAUUUCUUCAAGCAAUUUUAUUUGUGAUAAUAACAUAUCCAGCAAUAAAUUUCGACCUCUCGGUAGACAAAGUAUUUUGGUACUUCUACACAAUGUUUUGUACAAUGCUCUCUACUUCACUUACCUUGGGAUGAUGCUUGUUUCAUUGACCCCAAACUUCCAAGUCGCUUCAGCGCUGGCAGCCUUCUGUUACACCAUAUUGAAUUUGUUCGCAGGAUACAUCAUACCAGGACCAAAAAUUCCAAAAUGGUGGGCUUGGUGUUACUGGAUUUGCCCAACAGCCUGGUCCC